rnacentral:antisense_RNA from 1 species
UUGCUUACAACGCUCUUGCGUCAUCGUGAGACAAAUCAAACCACGACCAUACGUUGCCAUGAAGUUGAUUGCUUCGGGAGUGAUAUGCUCUGCCGCGAUAACAA